UAGCUAGCUGAUUGCAGCUAGGCUUAUGUAACAAUGUAACUAAAAUUUAAAAACGGUAGUAUUUCUCUGAGUAUAGGGGUUAUAAAGUAGCAUACAAUGGAAAAUCUCAAGUAAAGUCCAAUUACCUUGAAUUUGUACUUUGAUAGUAACUUAGUUAUGUCGAAGAUUUUCUCUCUAUAUGGUUCAAUCUAUUAUUACGCUCUCCGUGCAUGUCCAACAGGGGGCGCUAGCUGCACGCAGAGACGUGAAGACACCAGAGAGACCGAGGGAAAAGAUGAGCUCAUCUAAAUUCAAGAUAGAUGCCAGUUAGCAAAAAUAAUUAUGAGUAAAAGUUGAUACAUUAGUUUAAGUUACAAAGCAAAGGAAGUUUAUAUGGGAUCCUGUGCUUCAUAUUGAGUUUAAUAUUUCGUCUAUUUUCGGUGAAGUUAUUUGGUGGUGACUGAUGUAUGCGCGUUGUUCUCUUCAUGGUCAAACUCUGUGAAAGAGAGACUUCAGUGGGCAGGAGGCCAGAGGAAUUCUGCUGCUGUUUGUGGAGGAGCCAUCCCAUCAUUUGGAUUCGGACGUGCUGCAGGCGUCACUUGGAUUUCAGUAGACACCACCAUGCUGUGAGGACACAUUACUGAUGGACAUGGUGAAGCUACUGCUGGUCUCUGUGAGAGUGAAGGACCCGUUUGACUUCGGAGAAGAUUUUGUUGAUAAAAUAUCCUCACAGAUUGAACCAUUCUCUUUGCAGAAAAACAUG